GAGCACUUGGAAUGGACCAUCAAAGCGUGGUUCAAGUCCUUUCCUCACAUGCCUCUUUAUCACCACCCAAUCACCAGGCUGCAGUUUGUGAGUUACAGAAUCAGAGUCUGGAUCUGGAAUAGAAUCAAAGACUUGUUUAUGCACCCUGCCUAAUCUUUGGUGUAGGGCCUGAACAUAGGCAGUCAUACUACCAUGCUGCAUCUGGAGGGUUUGGGGAAAAUAGAG